rnacentral:rRNA from 1 species
AACGAACGCUGGCGGCAGGCUUAACACAUGCAAGUCGAACGCCCCGCAAGGGGAGUGGCAGACGGGUGAGUAACACGUGGGAACGUACCCUUUACUACGGAAUAACUCAGGGAAACUUGUGCUAAUACCGUAAGUGCCCUUCGGGGGAAAGAUUUAUCGGUAAAGGAUCGGCCCGCGUUGGAUUAGCUAGUUGGUGGGGU